rnacentral:rRNA from 1 species
GCGUUGUCCGGAUUCAUUGGGCGUAAAGAGCGUGUAGGCGGCCAGGUAGGUCGGUUGUGAAAACUGGAGGCUCAACCUUCAGAGGUCGAUCGAAACCAUCUGGCUAGAGUCCGGGAGAGGAGAGUGGAAUUCCUGGUGUAGCGGUGAAAUGCGCAGAUAUCAGGAAGAACACCCGUGGCGAAAGCGGCUCUCUGGAACGGUACUGACGCUGAGACGCGAAAGCGUG